rnacentral:misc_RNA from 1 species
AGCUUUCUUCCUUCUCUUUUGGCCUUCUUCUCCUUCAUCCAUCAACAUGCUCACAGCCAUUUCUACUUCCUCUUUCUUCACUAAAACUCCAACUUUCUCUUCCUCACCCCAUCUUACAGGAACCUCAACGCCAACUCUGACACCAAUCCUUAAAAUCUCCACAAUUAGCUUCUCAUUAAAGAAUUGCUCAGAGAAUAAAGGCCAAGUUAGCAUUGGCACUCCAGAGCAGACACCUUCUAUUGUUGAGUUCCAACCACAAUGGGUUAAGAAUCCUCCAAUUGCUGGAU